ensembl:lncRNA
AAUAUAAAUACACUGAACUCAUUUGGAUAUAUUUAAGUGAGACUCUACAAUAUUAUUUGACACAAAUCUAUCUAAAUCAAAACUUUAAUCAUUUUUACUCCAAACAUUUACUGGACUGAUUUAAACAUUAAAAUCACUCCUUUCUAAUCCUCUGCUGUACGUUCAAACCUGAGGCCUUAAAUAGAAACACACAAGUAUCUGAUUGAAGGAACUUCUGCAGAGUCCUGGUUCCAGAACAUGAUGAUAGAAUUAUAGACAAACUUUAACAAAAGCUGCCUGAGAGUUUACAGGUUUUUAUGUUAGAUUUCUUCAAUAAUUUAAUGAGAGUUAUCAGCAAAAAUCAAGUGUUCAUUUGAUGAACUUCAUUUCCUAAAACAUCCAGAAUUGGAGCUCAUAUCUUUGGCAGCUGUAAAGUUUCUGCUCCUUCAAAGUUCACAACACAAUGAAUGAAUUCCUAAAACACUCUCAAUGCUGGAGAGCGUUUGUGAUGCUGAAGCAGUGACCAGUUUUUCAGUUUCUUCUCUGGAGAUGCACAAUGAGGGACGUCUGCAGAGACUGAGAAAGAGUCUCACCACAUCCUGACAUGAGGAAAAAGACUUUAUUGAAGACUACAAUGAGAAAAACUAUCAGACAGCAGACGGCUGCAUUCAAGGCUACAGGAGGAGUCCUACGAGGACGAGCCGGUCCACCUGAUGGAGGCCAGUCGCUGCGGUUCAAAGGCAACACCGACUACGUGGACUUCUACUGGACCACACGGAGGCCUUCAAACCGGACCAACAAGUUCAGCGACUCCCCGACUCGUGGGUCUGAGGACGCCGCCGAGCCUCGGUCCAGCCGGCCUCCUGUCUGUGGGUGUUUGAGUGCUGAGAGGUUUGUGGAUGCAUGUGAACGUGUCUGUGUUGAAACAGCAGCUUUGGACUCAGUAACGCCGGGAAAAACCAAGAGCUCCUUUAUUUGUGACUUCCACUAAAAAAAACUGAUGAAAAUAAGUUUGCCGGGG